UUGGAAAUAAUGAUGACAGAUAUUAACUGAAUUAUUUAUAUGGCAGAUGAUUCGUCGAAGAUUCCGUCACGUUGAUAUAUAAAACGGCAAACCUCUUGGAAGAUAACAAACCAGAAGGGAGUAUUUAUACAACUACUACGCUUCGAAAUACGACAUUCAGUUGUUAUAUUUGCCGUCAUUUAGGCACGUGCAUGGCUUUUAUGAUUUUAGGAGGCUGGUGAGAAAAACGCGCUGAAUUAAUGUUCUUUUCAACACUACUGUUGUCCCUCUCUCAGCCGUACUUGACUACAUUGUGGCUGCUCAAAGUUUUGGACCAUGGCGCAGACAAACAAUUCUGGGCAAAGCACCAGUGGAGUAGCAGACGAAUCCCCCAACAUGCUUGUCUACAGAAAGAUGGAAAAUGUAAUAGCACGCAUGCAGGAUGAAAAAAGCGGAAUUCCGAUCCGUACAGUGAAAAGUUUUUUAUCCAAGAUCCCCAGUGUUUUCUCAGGUUCGGAUAUUGUCCAAUGGAUGAUGAAAAACCUGGGUAUCGAAGAUCAAGUGGAGGCUCUCCAUCUUGGCACAUUAAUGGCUGCGCAUGGCUACUUCUUCCCCAUCUCAGACCAUGUCCUCACACUAAAGGACGAUGGAACGUUCUACAGGUUCCAGACUCCCUACUUCUGGCCCUCUAACUGCUGGGAACCAGAGAACACAGAUUAUGCUGUUUACCUCUGCAAAAGAACCAUGCAAAACAAAGCUCGUCUGGAACUGGCUGACUAUGAAGCUGAGAGCUUGGCAAGAUUACAAAGGGCAUUCGCUCGCAAAUGGGAAUUCAUAUUUAUGCAAGCAGAAGCACAAGCAAAAGUUGAUAAAAAAAGAGAUAAGAUUGAGAGGAAAAUACUUGACAGUCAAGAAAGAGCUUUUUGGGAUGUGCACAGACCAGUGCCCGGGUGUGUAAACACCACUGAAGUGGACAUAAAGAAGUCCUCCAGAAUGAAAAAUCCACACAAAACCCGGAAGUCGGUGUAUGGGCUGCAGAAUGACAUCCGUAGCCAUAGCCCCACCCAAAUCCCCACCCCCGAGGCUCGGCAGCCAACGGAAGAGGAGUUACAGGGUCAGAUCAAAUUUUGGCAAGCGCAAUUAGACAGGCAUCGUUUGAAAAUGUCCAAAGUUGCAGAAAGUUUACUGGGGUACACAGAACAGUACGUUGAGUACGACCACUUUCUCACGCCACCAGAUCCCUCCAAUCCCUGGAUCUCUGAUGACACCACUGUGUGGGAGCUGGAGGCCAGUAAGGAGCCCAGUCAGCAGAGGGUGAAGAGGUGGGCUUUCGGGAUCAACGAGGUGCUGAAAGACCAAAUAGGCAGAGAGCAGUUCCUCAAGUUCUUGGAGUCUGAGUUCAGCUCGGAAAACUUAAGGUUCUGGUUGGCGGUCCAGGGGCUGAAGAAAAGGCCGAUCCGGGAGGUUCCCACCCGGGUCCAGGAGAUCUGGCAGGAGUUCCUGGCUCCCGGGGCUCCCAGUGCCAUUAAUGUGGACUCAAAGAGCUAUGACAAAACCACUCAGAAUGUGAAGGACCCUGGGCGCUAUGCAUUUGAGGAUGCUCAGGAGCACAUCUACAAACUGAUGAAGAGCGAUUCGUACAGUCGCUUCAUCCGAUCAAGUGCCUACCAGGAGCUGCUACAGGCCAAGAAGAAGGUCCCACCUAACGCUUCUUCUUCCCGCCUCACCUGUGUUUCUGUGUCACCUUGCCUCCGCUUUGCUGAUCUUACUGUGCUACACCUCUUUCCUCUCAACCUUCCAGCCUACAGUUAUGCAGAAUUGUUACAUUUUUUCCACAAUAAAUUUAUUAAGCAGACAAUCAGUUUGUGUCUUAUGUAAUUAAGUAAGUGCAUACAGUAUCUUCUGAAUGACCCUAGCCUUAAUCCUUUCUUUACCUCAGCAUACUUGAAUCUAUGCUUUCUUAGCAUAGUAUAGUAUAUAAUUAUCAUAGAUUAAUGUUGUGUGAUGUAUUUAGUGUGCCUAUUAUUUUUCAUUCAAUACAGGGAAUGCAUUUUUUAUAUUAUGGAUACACACAUACUUGGAAACAUUUAUACAAAAUAUGAAUUUAAUUUUUUAUUUUUAUUAUGAAAGUUAAAAUCUUUUAAGAAUUCAAUUAGAACAGCACAGAAUUCAUUUUGGUUGUUAUUUUUUGUUUGUUAUAUGACUUAUUCCAUUGUUAAUAAAAUCCAAAAUUAAAUUAAAUCUGCCCAUACUUUGAAUAGUUUUAAGAGACAAUUGAAGAUUUGGUUCUGAGUAAAAUAUCAGGGAAACUUCUAUUUUAGAAAAGCUUUUAUUGUUGUGUAUGUGUUGAAUUUGUGUUGGUUUUAUAAUGUGUAAUGAGUAGCCUGUACAUGCCACACCCUUUUCCUGCCUGCCUUCUAGCCAAGUCUUCAGGACCGCAAUGGAAAUAAGUAAUGUGACUACAUUGCGAUAUUCUGAUAGAUAAAGUGCCAUAUGCAUUUCUGUGCAUUGUAUUUUAAUUUAUCAAAUAAUCUCAGCAAAUUAAUCAGUACCAGGCAAAGAACCAACAAAACAGGAAGGGGUUUGGUAAAUUUAACUGCAUGAUGGCCAGUGGUAGUUUUGCAUGGAUCCCAUUUUGGUCACAAGAGCCAAAAUGUCCUCCCUCAUGUGCACUUUCUCCUUGUCCACAGAAAAGUAAGAACUUGUUUUGAAGGAUUUUACUUCCAGGGGAAAUCGCUGACUUCAAAGAGGUUCAGCAGUCUAGUGCAGACCUGCUGAAAUGCAGUCACGCUAUAGCUCGGGAAACGGACGCUGCCAUUUAAAAAAAGUAUUUUACAGAACAUUUUCAUAGUCUAUUCUUCACCCAGAAGGAAGAUCAGAUGUUGCAUGUCUGAAGAACCAAGUUUUGAUUAUUUUUCUUUCAUUGUUUGGAAAGGCAUGUUUAACUCAUGGAUAAAGGGACAUUAAACAUACUAAUGCCUUCAAAGAAGGUAAUUGUCCCAAUCAUUUCCUGACAUAUCAAACGGGGGGGGGGGGGGGGGGGGGGGGGGGAGAGAAAUCAGCCGCAGAGAAGCUUGUGCAUAUACCCACACUGGAUUAGUACUAAUCUGCCGUUAUAGAACACAGGCUGAAUAUAUUAUUAAAAUGAAUUUGCCUAUAUUAAUAAUUACGAUACUACACUUUAUUUGUGUUGAUUUAUUGCACUAUAGAAGUUUGCACAAGUCACAUCGCACUCAUGAAACUGCUGUUGGAAAAUCGAGAAGAAAAGCUGCGCCUGUCUUAUGUUUUCUGCAGUUCUUUGUUACAGUUCUUUGCAUUUAUUUUUAUACCAUAUUUAAGGACCUUUUAAUGUAAUCAAAUGUAUUAAAGCUGACUCAUUAUCUGAUUACACAGGUGUGUUUGUAUGAUUGAUGACUUCAGAGGUGAGACCUGGGGGAUGCUGAGAGAUGGGGGAGGGGACAGAGACAGUAUGUAAAUAUGGCACCAAUAAACUUUCAGAGAACAUAA